GUCUGCUGGAUUUGACAACACAUAUACUAAAACUGGAGUGAUACAGAGAAGGUUAGCAUGGCCCCUGGACGAGGAUGACACACAUUUGUGAAGUGUUCCAUGUUUGU
ensembl:snRNA U6 U6 spliceosomal RNA